UACAGAGGAUGCAAGCGUUAUCCGGAAUUAUUGGGCGUAAAGAGUCUGUAGGUGGUCGAAGUGAAGUCCCCUGUUAAAUCUCAGGGCUCAACCCUGUGCAGGCAGUGGAAACUCAUCGGCUUGAGUACGGUAGGGGCAGAGGGAAUUUCCGGUGGAGCGGUGAAAUGCGUAGAUAUCGGAAAGAACACCAAGGGCGAAGGCACUCUGCUGGGCCGAAACUGACACUGAGAGACGAGAGCUAGGGGAGCAAAUGGG
rnacentral:rRNA from 1 species